CCUACGGGCGGCUGCAGUGGGGAAUAUUGGGCAAUGGAGGAAACUCUGACCCAGCAACGCCGCGUGAAUGAUGAAGGUCUUCGGAUUGUAAAGUUCUUUUCUAAGGGAAGAAGAAAGUGACGGUACCUUAGGAAUAAGCCUCGGCUAACUACGUGCCAGCAGCCGCGGUAAUACGUAGGAGGCGAGCGUUAUCCGGAUUUGCUGGGUGUAAAGGGAGCGUAGACGGUUAAUCAAGUCAGAAGUGAAAACCCAGGGCUCAACCUUGGGACUGCUUUUGAAACUGAGUAGCUAGAGUGCAGGAGAGGUAAGCGGAAUUCCUAGUGUAGCGGUGAAAUGCGUAGAUAUUAGGAGGAACACCAGUGGCGAAGGCGGCUUACUGGACUGUAACUGACGUUGAGGCUCGAAAGCGUGGGGAGCAAACAGGAUUAGAUACUCCAGUAGUC
rnacentral:rRNA from 1 species